CCGGUAGUCCUAGCCGUAAACGAUGAGCACUAGACUGAGGAGACCCCCACAUCUUCUCGGUCGUAGCGAAAGUGUUAAGUGCUCCGCCUGGGGAGUAUGGCCGCAAGGCUGAAACUCAAAGGAAUUGACGGGGGCUCACACAAGCGGUGGAGGAUGUGGCUUAAUUCGAGUCUACGCGAAGAACCUUACCUGGGCUUGAACUGCUUAAGAACACUUUGGAAACAGAGUGGUGCCCUUCGGGGAGCUUUUGCAGAGGUGCUGCAUGGCUGUCGUCAGCUCGUGUCGUGAGAUGUCGGGUUAAGUCCCUUAACGAGCGAAACCCUUAUCUUUAGUUGCCAGCGCGUUAUGGCGGGGACUCUAAAGAGACUGCCGGUGUUAAACCGGAGGAAGGCGGGGGAUGACGUCAAGUCCUCAUGGCCCUUAUGUCCAGGGCUGCACACGUCCUACAACUGCGUUGUACAAAGGGAUGCAGACCGUGAGGUGGAGC
rnacentral:rRNA from 1 species